GGUCAGCGCUCAAGAUCCCUGCCAGUAACCAUACGCCAGUGCAAAAACACAUAGCUGGCUAGUAUCUUGCGGCACUAGCCUUCGUUACCGAAAAUUGUUCAGGAUAUAUCAAACAAUAUACCCAUGUCCACGAAAACAUUUGUCAUCACUAUAAAUAAUUACGAAAUCACACAAAACAACGCCUAUCCUAACUUUGCUUACAUUAUUUUUAAGUCAACAAAAAAAUAUUAUACUAAACUCUCAUUGUUUGUCUAAGACAUAAUAUUUCCAAAAUUGAUUUAUUUACUGUAAACAAGUUUUCUCUGUCUAUAUAUAAAAGACGAAAGAAAGUCCUUUGUCUAUUAUUUGCAGUUUAAUCGCAGUGCAUUUGUCCAGCAUGAGUUCUUUCAGAAUUAUUAUCCCACCAUUUGUCAUUUUCAUGUUUGUGCAGACGAUAUCCGCGCAUUGUGGAGGCGACCGUCACGCGACGUAUGCGGAUUGCAGCGACUUUUGUACAAACAACUGUGAUGCAUCAUUGCUGUGCACAUCGGACUGCCAGCCAGGGUGCAGCUGCAAGCCGGGAUACAUAUACGAUUACGUACAAAUGGCGUGUGUUUUAGAAGAGAAUUGCAGUAAGUGACCAGCAAUAGGAUGUUACGUGACUUAUCGAUAAUAAUGGCGCCUUCUAUUAUAAGGCGUGUGGAAGCGCAGCAAUAUAAAUUUUAUAAAAAAAAUAUGCUUACUUUUUUUUUCUAUAAACCCCG